rnacentral:rRNA from 1 species
UGGGGAAUUUUGCACAAUGGGGGAAACCCUGAUGCAGCGACGCCGCGUGAUUUAGAAGGCCUUCGGGUUGUCAAAAUCCUUUCUAUGGGAAGAAAAUGACAGUACCAUAGGAAUAAGGACCGACUAAUUACGUGCCAGCAGCCGCGGUAAUACGUAAGGUCCGAGCGUUGUCCGGAAUCAUUGGGCGUAAAGGGUACGUAGGCGGGUAAGCAAGUUAGAAGUGAAAUCCUAUAGCUCAACUAUAGUAAGAUUUUAAAACUGCUCAUCCUGAGUUAUGGAAGGGGAGGGGGAAGUCCUAGUGUAGCGGUGAAAUGCGCAGAUAUUAGGAGGAAUACCGGUGGCGAAGGCGACUUUCUGGCCAUACCCUGACGCUGAGGUACGAAAGCGUGGGUAGCAAACAGG